rfam:Streptomyces sp. Root431 contig_3, whole genome shotgun sequence.
GCCGGUCCUCGGUAGUGGCCCCCGGAACAUGCCGGGUGCUUCGAUCGAAGACCGGC